CCUACGGGAGGCAGCAGUGAGGAAUAUUGGUCAAUGGACGAGAGUCUGAACCAGCCAAGUAGCGUGAAGGAUGACUGCCCUAUGGGUUGUAAACUUCUUUUAUAAAGGAAUAAAACGAGGCACGUGUGCCUUUUUGCAUGUACUUUAUGAAUAAGGAUCGGCUAACUCCGUGCCAGCAGCCGCGGUAAUACGGAGGAUCCGAGCGUUAUCCGGAUUUAUUGGGGUUAAAGGGAGCGUAGAUGGGUUGUUAAGUCAGUUGUGAAAGGUUGCGGCUCAACCGUAAAAUUGCAAUUGAUACUGGCAGUCUUGAGUACAGUUGAGGUAGGCGGAAUGCGUGGUGUAGCGGUGAAAUGCUUAGAUAUCACGAAGAACCCCGAUUGCGAAGGCAGCUUACUAAGCUGUGACUGACAUUGAUGCUCGAAAGUGUGGGUAUCAAACAGGAUUAGAUACCCGAGUAGUC
rnacentral:rRNA from 1 species